GACGAACGCUGGCGGCGUGCUUAACACAUGCAAGUCGAACGGAAAGGCCCUGCUUUUGUGGGGUGCUCGAGUGGCGAACGGGUGAGUAGCACGUGAGUAACCUGCCCUUGACUUUGGGAUAACUUCAGGAAACUGGGGCUAAUACCGGAUAGGAGCUCCUGCUGCAUGGUGGGGGUUGGAAAGUUUCGGCGGUUGGGGAUGGACUCGCGGCUUAUCAGCUUGUUGGUGGGGUAGUGGCUUACCAAGGCUUUGACGGGUAGCCGGCCUGAGAGGGUGACCGGCCACAUUGGGACUGAGAUACGGCCCGGACUCCUACGGGAGGAAGAAGUGGGGAAUAUUGCACAAUGGGCGGAAGCCUGAUGCAGCAACGCCGCGGGCGGGAUGACGGCCUUCGGGUUGUAAACCGCUUUCGCCUGUGACGAAGCGUGAGUGACGGUAAUGGGUAAAGAAGCACCGGCUAACUACGUG
rnacentral:rRNA from 1 species